rnacentral:rRNA from 1 species
AGGUAGUAGUUUAAAUAAAACCAAUUUAUUUUGGCGGCAUUUUCUUUAUUAGAGGAACCUGUCUUUUAAUCGAUACCCCACGUUUAUUUUCACUUAUAACUAAAUCUUAUAUACCUCCAUCUUAAGGAUUAAUAUAUAAAUUUUUUCAAAAUAAAUAUUUAAUAAGUUAGGUAAAGGUGUAGACUAUUUAUAAGUUUUGAUGUGUUACAUUAAAUUAAAUUUAAGGAAAUUAAUUAAAAAAUUAAUAAGAAAGAGGAUUUAACUGUAAAUUUAAACUAUUAUUUUAAAUUGAUAAAAUUAGAAAAUGUGU